rnacentral:sRNA from 1 species
ACUAAAACUUUCAACAACGGAUCUCUUGGUUCUGGCAUCGAUGAAGAACGCAGCGAAAUGCGAUAAGUAAUGUGAAUUGCAGAAUUCAGUGAAUCAUCGAAUCUUUGAACGCACAUUGCGCCCCUCGGUAUUCCGAGGGGCAUGCCUGUUCGAGCGUCAUUACAACCCUCAAGCUCUGCUUGGUGUUGGGCACCGCCCUUCCGCGGGCGCGCCUCAAAGACCUCGGCGGUGGCGUCUUGCCUCGAGCGUAGUAGAAAACACCUCGCUUUGGAGCGCACGGCGCCGCCCGCCGGACGAACCUUUUGAACUUUCUCAAGGUUGACCUCGGAUCAGGUAGGGAUACCCGCUGAACUUAAGCAUAUCAAUAAGCGGAGGAAAAGAAACCAACAGGGAUUGCCUCAGUAACGGCGAGUGAAGCGGCAACAGCUCAAAUUUGAAAGCUGGCCCCCCCGGGGGUCCGCGUUGUAAUUUGUAGAGGAUGAUUCGGCGAGGGCUCCCGCCUAAGUCCCCUGGAACGGGGCGUCAUAGAGGGUGAGAAUCCCGUAUGCGGUGGGCUGCCUUAGCCAUGUGAAUCUCCUUCGACGAGUCGAGUUGUUUGGGAAUGCAGCUCUAAAUGGGAGGUAAAUUUCUUCUAAAGCUAAAUACCGGCCAGAGACCGAUAGCGCACAAGUAGAGUGAUCGAAAGAUGAAAAGCACUUUGGAAAGAGAGUUAAAAAGUACGUGAAAUUGUUGAAAGGGAAGCGCUUGCAGCCAGACUUGUCCGCAGUUGCUCAGCCGGUCUCCUGACCGGCGCACUCUUCUGCGGCCAGGCCAGCAUCAGUUCGGGCGGUCGGAUAAAGGCCCCGGGAACGUAGCUCCUCUCGGGGAGUGUUAUAGCCCGGGGUGGAAUGCGGCCAGCCUGGACUGAGGAUCUCGCUUCGGCUAGGAUGCUGGCGUAAUGGCUGUAAGCGGCCCGUCUUGAAACACGGACCAAGGAGUCUAACAUCUAUGCGAGUGUUUGGGUGUCAAACCCAUGCGCGUAAUGAAAGUGAACGGAGGUGGGAACCCUCGCGGGUGCACCAUCGACCGAUCCUGAUGUCUUCGGAUGGAUUUGAGUAAGAGCAUAGCUGUUGGGACCCGAAAGAUGGUGAACUAUGCCUGAAUAGGGUGAAGCCAGAGGAAACUCUGGUGGAGGCUCGCAGCGGUUCUGACGUGCAAAUCGAUCGUCAAAUUUGGGUAUAGGGGCGAAAGACUAAUCGAACCAUCGACUACUAGGUGGUUAAGAGGUGGCUGAAAGUGCCCACCUAGUCCCCCCGUCCGAGGACGGGGGGGCGACAUCGCCCAAAUUGCGGGGACUCCCUUAGAGCCUCUACUACCGCGGCCGGCCGAAAGGCGCGGUGCAGCACCGGGUUAAUUGCCUAGGGUACGGUAAAAAGGUAGAGGAUUGGGAAAUCCGCAGCCAAGCGCCUAAGUCCCGCGGGAUACGGCGAAGGUUCAGAGACUAGAUGGCGGUGGGUCGGCCCGAGG